AAGCCUAUAGUUUCCAUUUGAUCGUUAGUUGUCGCUGGCACGACAAGUGGCUGAUGUAAUAGAGUGUCAACAAAACUUUACAAAACUCUGCAAUCAUUAAGACUGAUUUGCAUAUAACACACACAAAGAUUAUUAUUAUAUUAGACUAUUUCACAUCUACCGCUUGUCGUGCCAGCGACAACUAACGACCAAAUGGAAACUAGGCUUA
rnacentral:lncRNA from 1 species